UCUUAGUGGCUAAGGAGGUACAAAUGGGUGUUGGGGGUUUGCUCAGUUUAGUGUUUUCUUGUUUGGUAGUGAUGUUCCAUUGCUUGACCUAAAUGAGACAAAACAAGUAGCUAGCUCUGCAACUACAUCUGUGGGACUAAAAUCCCAACCCAAAUGAAGGAGAAUUUUGGAGCAUUUCCAUUAUCGUCAUAUGUUGGGAUUGUACAUGGUUGGAGGAACUUCAAUGUGUUGGGACUUGGAGAGGAGACAUGUUAGCUAUAAUUCCUUGGGGCAAGAGAAUGAGAGAUUGCUAACUGGUCGCAUAGCUCAUGCAUUAGUACAACAAUGUACACAUGGACAUCAACAUGGAUCAGAUUUUUUACUUAUAAUGGUUGUUAUGAUAACUUUACAUGCCCCUAUGUUCACCCACAUAAACCACUCGACUACGUAUGAUUGUUUUUCCGAAUUCUUUGUUUCUCUACUUAUUCUAUUUCCUUGUAUGGUCUUCUUUUGUAAAAACAUAUCAUGCUUAGACAUAUAAUCGUAAUAAAUGUAUAGGGUUUAUCAGAA